rnacentral:rRNA from 1 species
UACGUAGGGUGCGAGCGUUGUCCGGAAUUAUUGGGCGUAAAGGGCUCGUAGGCGGUUUGUCGCGUCGGGAGUGAAAACACCGGGCUUAACUCGGUGCUUGCUUUCGAUACGGGCAGACUAGAGGCAUGCAGGGGAGAACGGAAUUCCUGGUGUAGCGGUGAAAUGCGCAGAUAUCAGGAGGAACACCGGUGGCGAAGGCGGUUCUCUGGGCAUUACCUGACGCUGAAGAGCGAAAGUGUGGGGAGCGAACAGG